UACGAAGGGGGCUAGCGUUGUUCGGAAUCACUGGGCGUAAAGCGCGUGUAGGCGGUCCGGUAAGUCCGCUGUGAAAGUCGAGGGCUCAACCCUCGAAUGCCGGUGGAUACUGUCGGGCUUGAGUACGGGAGAGGCGAGUGGAAUUCCUGGUGUAGCGGUGAAAUGCGCAGAUAUCAGGAGGAACACCGAUUGCGAAGGCAGCUCGCUGGAACGUUACUGACGCUGAGACGCGAAAGCGUGGGGAGCAAACAGG
rnacentral:rRNA from 1 species